rnacentral:rRNA from 1 species
AUUGAACGCUGGCGGCAUGCUUUACACAUGCAAGUCGAACGGUAACAGGCCGCAAGGUGCUGACGAGUGGCGAACGGGUGAGUAAUGCAUCGGAACGUGCCCAGUCGUGGGGGAUAACUACUCGAAAGAGUAGCUAAUACCGCAUACGAUCUAUGGAUGAAAGCGGGGGACCGUAAGGCCUCGCGCGAUUUGAGCGGCCGAUGUCAGAUUAGGUAGUUGGUGGGGUAAAGGCUCACCAAGCCAACGAUCUGUAGCUGGUCUGAGAGGACGACCAGCCACACUGGGACUGAGACACGGCCCAGACUCCUACGGGAGGCAGCAGUGGGGAAUUUUGGACAAUGGGCGCAAGCCUGAUCCAGCAAUGCCGCGUGCAGGAAGAAGGCCUUCGGGUUGUAAACUGCUUUUGUACGGAACGAAACGGCUCUGGUUAAUACCCGGGGCUAAUGACGGUACCGUAAGAAUAGGCACCGGCUAACUACGUG